GUUCCGAACUUGAUCUGGAAAAAUGUUUCCAUGGUACUUUGCAGCCAUUAGUCGAAGGCUGCCUUCAAUUAGCACACAUACAUACCAUGUGAAGGUUGCUGGUCUAGCCACAGGCCAGAUCCACUACAAAUCAAAGCCCAGGAUUCUUUCUUUGAGAAAAUGGAGAGAAGAAGUCAACCUUCCCCAUCCUCAUGCUUUUACUGCCGACUGCACCUGAUACCACCCCCACUCAAGAGAACUCUGAAGAGACUCAAAUACAUCAGGGAGCUGGAGUCAGUGGGUGGGUGCUGAUAAUGUGUUUAUCUUCCCCAGUGGAAACUACACGAGUCAAUCAGACGUCUGACCUUUUCCUUUACCGAAAAGUUACGGGAAGGAAAUGUGAGUCAGAGACUCCUUUUACAGAUACACUGCUUCCUGACUGUCUGGGCAAAGGAGCUGGCCUGGGCUGGCCUCUGAGAUGUCAGCUUUUGGGGCAGUGAGCAAGUGUGUACCUGUCGCUCCUGUGACUCCAGCCGUCACACGCAGAAGGACAGAAUCUACAUCAUUAAUCAUUUGGCAGAGCAGAAAUAGAGUCAUUGAAACAGGCUCCGCUGUGGGAUAAUAGUCCAGAAAUGUCACCAUUUAUCUACUGAGAGGACACUUUUAUCCUCUGACAACGGGCUAGCCCACCGACAUUAUAUCUUAAUUAAAAGAAAAAUUAAUCGGCACAAUUCAUUUUCUUGCCAGCCCCAGUGCUUGCCCUGGACUGCAAAACAUGUCUAGUAGCAACAAUAACCACAGGGUGGGCAGAGACCUUUGAGAUCCCAGUCUUGGAGAGAGAAUGUUAAAGAGCUCCAGUCCCAGGGCAACCAACUCAUCAAACAAAUGCUUAAAAGAGAGAAUCAGGAUGGAACAAGAAAAUAUGAAGUCUAGUGGUGAGCCAGGAGAAUAAAUGGCCUUUGAGAAGAUAACUAUGUGUUUUGGGUUGGUGGGGAGAGGUGGUGAUGGAAGGGUAAGAGGUAGGGAGAGAGUAUGUGGGGGGCGGGUGGAAAUGGACAUUUUCAGAUAACUAUGUAGACAGUUCAAAUAUCUAGACAUUUGGCUGGGUGUAGAUGACAUUCUGUUCUAUCUGAUUAAGUCAUUUUCUACAAGAUUGACCUCUUAUAGUUUGCUGUGGACACUUGAAUAAAAUAGAA
rnacentral:lncRNA from 10 species